CUUUUCCACCGGCUCUACUUCAGCAGCUCGGCUCUAUUUCGGAGUGACCGCGUUUCCACCGGCCGGCUCGGCUCUGUAGCACGGUGCCGCCCCCUGGUGGUGGGGGUUGUAGCGCUCCGCCUCCAGGCGCCAUGUGAUGUGCUUCGUUACGCGACCUAACGCCAGAUGUUGUUUUUCUGGGACAAAAGAAGAAGAGAGAGCUGAGCUAUUGUUUUAUAGCCAAUUGUGAUUUUUCUGGGACUUCAAGAAAAUGCGCGGUGGGAGGAAAACUGUGAUGUGGUGAGGAAGAGGAGGAGGAGGAAGAGGAGGAGGACAGCUGAUCUCCACCUUGCAGGGAGGAAAGCAGGUGGUUCAGACGGUGCAGAUGUUGGUGAACUGCAGACCAUCGCGGUUCUUCCUGCAGCCUCUGAGUUGGAGGAUCUCAUCAGUGUCCGUCUUCCUGACCGCCGGUCGGUUUUUACCUCCAGGAUGUCCAGAGACCUUCAGCUUCUGGAGCAGGAACCACAUGAGCUCCAUGUGCUGAUGAAACAUUUCUAAUUUCAAAUGUGUCUGAUGUUCUUAGAGUUGAAGUGCAUUAACAAUCUGUUGUUUUUCACUUCAAUAUGUUUAAUUAUGAUUCAUCUGACGUCCAAGUUACACUGAGAACAAAUAAAACUGUUUUCCUUCUAAUCUGA